rnacentral:rRNA from 1 species
UGGGGAAUAUUGGACAAUGGGGGCAACCCUGAUCCAGCCAUGCCGCGUGAGUGAUGAAGGCCUUCGGGUUGUAAAGCUCUUUUGGCGGGGACGAUGAUGACGGUACCCGCAGAAUAAGCCCCGGCUAACUUCGUGCCAGCAGCCGCGGUAAGACGAAGGGGGCUAGCGUUGUUCGGAAUUACUGGGCGUAAAGCGAGUGUAGGCGGUUGCCGUAGUCAGGUGUGAAAGCCUUGAGCUCAACUCAAGAAAUGCACUUGAUACUGGGUGACUAGAGGACCGGAGAGGAUAGUGGAAUUCCCAGUGUAGUGGUGAAAUACGUAGAGAUUGGGAAGAACACCAGUGGCGAAGGCGGCUAUCUGGACGGUUACUGACGCUAAGACUCGAAAGCGUGGGGAGCAAACAGGAUUAGAUACCCUGGUAGUCCACGCCGUAAACGAUGGGUGCUAGACGUUGGCGAGCUUGCUCGUCAGUGUCGCAGCUAACGCGUUAAGCACCCCGCUGGGGAGUNCGGCCGCAAGGUUGAAACUCAAAGGAAUUGACGGGGGUCAUAGCUGUUUUUCCU